rnacentral:siRNA from 1 species
UGCUGAUGUGUCGUUAUCAU